rnacentral:rRNA from 1 species
GGAUGCGAUCAUACCAGCAAUAAAGCACCGGAUCCCAUCAAAACUCCGUAGUUAAGCGUGCUUGGGCGAGAGUAGUACUAGGAUGGGUGACCUCCUGGGAAGUCCUCGUGUUGCAUUCC